rnacentral:misc_RNA from 1 species
UCCUGGCUGAGGGUCGUAUCCAUACCGAUGACUGCUCGGUCUUCUUCCGCCGGACCGGGGGCGCGUACUUUAUAAACGCGCCGUUCGAGUCGCACGCGGAGAGGGCGUCGGAGCGAGUUGAACGUCGAACGCGCUAUCGUCUGAGCACGAAAGCGCGACGUUUUAAGACGCGAAAGCGGCCCAUUAGCGCUCAUCCGUCGCGACGGAGGGACGCUAUGCGGUACGACGAGCGUCGACGUUUACGCGAUGCGAAGUUACGAGCAACGCCGCUACAGCGAUCGUCGUGUCCGAUAUUUUCGAAAGAAUAACGGAAACAGACGUCUGAUCGCGAGCGCUUAGCACGUGACGUGUAUAUAUUCGCGACGCGAGAAUUUACGUCUUCGCUUAGUUAC